UACGGAGGGUGCAAGCGUUAUCCGGAUUUACUGGGUUUAAAGGGUGCGCAGGCGGUAAGGUAAGUCAGUGGUGAAAGCUUCCAGCUCAACUGGAAAACUGCCAUUGAUACUGCUUUACUUGAAUAUAGUAGAGGUGGGCGGAAUACAUCAUGUAGCGGUGAAAUGCUUAGAUAUGAUGUAGAACACCAAUUGCGAAGGCAGCUCACUAAACUAUCAUUGACGCUCAGGCACGAAAGCGUGGGUAGCGAACAGG
rnacentral:rRNA from 1 species